UGCGUAGGUGGCAAGCGUUGUCCGGAAUUAUUGGGCGUAAAGCGCGCGCAGGCGGUCUCUUAAGUCUGAUGUGAAAGCCCACGGCUCAACCGUGGAGGGUCAUUGGAAACUGGGAGACUUGAGUACAGAAGAGGAAAGUGGAAUUCCACGUGUAGCGGUGAAAUGCGUAGAUAUGUGGAGGAACACCAGUGGCGAAGGCGACUUUCUGGUCUGUAACUGACGCUGAGGCGCGAAAGCGUGGGGAGCAAACAGG
rnacentral:rRNA from 1 species